ACUGUUGACGUUAACCGACUGAAGCCACACUAUGACCCGCCAGUUGUCCCUAUUGCUAAGCCAAUGCUGAUGUGCCACCGCAUCAACCAGACACGUCCCGACUGGCCCUUGAAUCUCUUCCCUGCAGCUGGACGGCACACAAUUUCUGCUCCACAAGCAGCGGAUACCAACCCGUGACGCUGAUCACAGAGAACAGGAGCACCCGUGGUCUCGUUUGCUGCUGGUUACCACGCUUGCGGGGUGUACAUGCCUGGUCCCUUGGUACGGGUGCCACCGGCCAGCGUGCGGCACGGCUGCGAGAAAAGG
rnacentral:lncRNA from 1 species